AUACACUGUAAUACUUGGUAAUAUACUGUAAUACAUGUAAUAGAUCUUUGACGGUUGCGCAAAGCAUUCUGGGUAUUUUUUCUUCCCAGCUGGUUCACAUAUCACAUGGAACGUUGGCUGCAGAUACAGAUAUAGAUACAGAUACAGAUAAUCUUUUCUGGGAAUGAAAGUUUACAAAAAUUGAACUGAAUAAAUACAAGAAAGUAUUAACAAACUAUCACAACCAGCAGGGGACCUCUCAAAACAGCCCGAAGGCCAGUUAAAAGAUGCGAGUAGGACCCUAUGCAAAUUUGUACAAACUUCAAUACUGCAAGAGCUCUGAUUGCUCAUGAGCAAAAAGUAAAAGUAAAAGCCACUGCUGAAUAUACAAUUUGCUUCUGCGUAACAUGCAAAAAGACAUUUGAAUCAGACGAUGCGCUGACUUGGAAUGUUUGGAAGGGCAUGGAGCAUUUACAGCGAUCGCUAUUCUGAUGAUUCCGUCAACUAUUGUUUUUUCUCAUCAACAUUUUCUGGUGGUUCUCAACCAAGACUACUCGUUCUGUCAUAGUACUGCCGGUUCGCUGCUGGUUCUCUGGUUGUUCUACGGAGACUGGUGGUUCGCUGCUUGUUCUGUGGUGGUUCUGCGGAGACUAGUUGUUACCUGUUUUAGUUAUUACGGAAGUGGGAGCAUUGUCCAUAUUUUUACAACAUUUGUAUCUGAGGAAUAAAAAAAGGGCAUGGCAUGAUUUACAUAACUUAGGCAUAGCCAAGGAUCAUUGGACCUUGUUUAAUGAAAUAGGUAUUCCAAAGUAUAGAUUUCAUUGCAAUUACAGUGGGACCACUUAUCACAAUAAUUGCUUAAAAUUGCAUGUCUGUUGUUUUUAACUGGUUUUCCACACACACUACAGGGAAACUGUAUCAUUUACACUUUAAACAGAAAAAGUAACAAAUAAUAAAUCGACAAAAAAUCGAAAGUAAAAGCGAUCACAGAAAAUGAGAAAAAAAGAGAAGAUAAAAAACAUCUACUUACAAGAAUUACUCCUGGAACCAUUUUAAACUGGAGUUAUUACGAUAGCAGAGAAGCAGUGAUGGGGCCGUUAAGAUUGUACCCUUGGAACAUCUCAUUUAACUGGGAUUUAUUAAAGAUCAAAACUAAAGAGGCGUCUAGGGCCUCAAUCUUGACAGUCCCACCAGUGAAUCAGAACUAGAGAUAAGACUGUCACUGUAUAACAUAUGCACAUUGUACCAGGAAUUCCAUGAAAAAAACAACACGAAUGAACCUAUAUUUGUUAAUUUGCGCAUGCAAUUUUUUAUUUUUUAUUAUUCACUUAUGGAGUGGUUUAAAAGUGUUAAUAUAUUAACGAAACACAUUGCUUUGUCGUUAGAAGUAACCUAUAGCAAAUAUAUACUGCAGGAAUACAUGACAAAGGGAGGGCUAUGUCAUACCAUGUUGUAUUCACUGCGAUCAUCUACUAUUUUGUUUGCUAUGUCCAUCCGCCCCUCCACAUGGCCGCAGACUAUAUUUUUACGGCAAGUGAUAUUUUCUCCGUAACGAUUGUGUUUUUUACUAAAAGACAUUUUUUUUUAAACUUCAGUUCCAUUUCGAUCUUUUGCUCCAUAAAAUUCUUUUUUUUUGUACGCAGCGUGUCCAUAGAUGUUUUAAAAAAGAUGAUAUUUCCAAUUACUUUUAAUUUUUUUUUAUAAUUUUUUAGAAUUUGUGCAUAUAAUGUUUACAAAAUCAAGAUUUUUAAUUUUAAAAAUGUUACCACAAGAUUUUUAGUUGUGUAAAUUCUCAGUGAUCUGCUGUUAUAAGACCAAAAAGUAACUUUUUGAGGAAAAUUAUGAUUAUUGGUAUAAUUUUCAUAUAAAAAUUGAUUCUUCCAGGAUACAAUUUCUGGCAACAAUAAAUUUUUAACUGUUAAACGUCAUAAUACGUAAUAAAGCCAUGCUAUUAAUAGUAUACAUUAACUCUGGAAAUUUGCUAUUAAAAAGUUUAAAUUGAUAUGUUUUUUUCGGUUAUCUGUUGAAUAAUAAUUUUAUAAAAAAAUUAAAAUAUUUUUUUGAGAAAAACGUUAGUUUUUAAAAUCUGAUGUGGUGAAAAGUAGGCCAGAGUUGAUUUUUUAUAUAAACAGAAUACUUUUUUUAAAUAUAUUUUCUAUCAACAUGAAAGGUAGCUAAUUCCAUACUGAAUACAUGUUCCAAAAGAGCUAGUGCAUUUGCAUUUAUUGUUGAAAAAAGAGGCAGUGUAUGGCAUCUUUUCAAAGAUAUCUGAGUUAAGCAUAUAAUUAACUUUUUGUAGCCUGAGCUAGAUUGAAUUUUGUUAACGAAUUAUUUUAAUCUUAUUUUUUAAAGCAAGAAGAAUAGUGUUGUGUGCUCACUUAGUAGUAAGAAUGCUUUGUCUUAAAAAGUUGUUUUUUACAUUUAUGAUACAUUUAUCUUUGAUGUUAACAUGCUUUAUUAAAUAAAAUACCAGUUAUGCCAAUUGAAAUACAAUUGCUCAGAAGAUAUUUUUUGUCUUGUAUGAAAGAAAUUUGUUUGUCAAAUUUUUAUUUAGUAUAUUGACUUUCAGGAGGGUCACAUUAUAUGUACAGGUAAUAUUGCCAGUUGAAAUACCCCUCUCUCUUCAGUGAGCUAAUUUCCUACCUUUUUUAUUAUUGACUUGUGUUGAAAAAUUGAACAAGCAACACCAAAUUUCGAAAAAUUUUAUGACCCAUUUCAAUUUAUUACCACCCCUCAUAUUAAUAAUUAAUAGCUUUUUCUGCUAUGGAACUUAUUAUGCCAAUAAUUCAAACAAGCUUCACAGAGUAAUUUAUUUAUUUAUCAUAAAGAUUUACACUUUAGUAAUAAAGUUACUGCUAUAAUUGCGUGUUCUGAUAAAGAAACCGACAAAGACAUACGUAUAUAUAACAAAAAAUCAUGUAAAAUAUACAUUGUGACUGAAACAAAUAACAUAGAAAAACAAAAAAUUGAAUAACACUUUAGUCUGUAAACUAAACUCAUUUCUCCUUUUUUGAUAUUUUUCAAUAAGAGAAGCGUACAAAAAAAUUAUAGGGCAAUAGCGAAAGCAGGGAAGAAAGACAGGUAUUCUUUCUAAUACCACUCUUGAAAGACUCAAAGAUAGGAGUGUUUAAGUAGACGAAUCAAGGGUCAAACAUACACCGAGAAACAAAAUUAUAAAAAUAUCAAAAUAAUAAAAAUUAUUUGCAAUUAAAAUGACUCAUGACUCUAUUCCUAAAAUCUGCGACUGAACCUGUUACCGUAUCUCUAUGGGCAGUGUAUUGAAAAUUUUCACAUCCGUUAUAGAAAAGAAGCCAGAUUAUUUUGUUUCACUUUAGGAAUAAAUAACACUAUAGAGUUUUGACAAGUAUUUUGACAAUGGAUUAUAACUCUCUAGAUCUUUACAAAUAUUACAACCUAAACAUUUCUUUACAAAUCCAAAAACAUAGUUCAAGUCCAAAUCCAGUAAGGUAUUUCCAAAAUGAAAAAUUUCUCUCUAAAGUAAAGUAUAAUCCAAGUUUAAAAUCCAAUGCCAAUAUGUUUAUAAUGCACAAAGUAGCUACACAAUUUUAAAUAUCUAAAUAUAAAAUGAAGUUACCUUUAACCAAGCAUUAAUUACUAAUUACAGCCUUAUAGCUAGCUACAGUACAGUGUCCUAAAAGCAUUUUUGGGAGACCUCUAGCUAGCUAGCUAGUUUAAAGGCUUUUAGGAUAUAUUAAGUUGCCUUUAUUGUACAAAAAGAAAUUAAAAGUACAAAUAAGUGCCUAAUAAAAGUUUUUUUCAAAAUAUAUAUCAUAAAAUUAGUAUCACAAAGAUAAAAACAGAUAUCAAAAAUCAAAACUGUCCUGCCGCCAGCAGUUUCGCAAGGCAAA